rnacentral:rRNA from 1 species
GACGUAGGGGGCCAGCGUUGCUCGGAAUUACUGGGUGUAAAGGGUUCGUAGGCGGUGUGGCAAGUCGGGAGUGAAAUCUCUGGGCUCAACUCAGAGUCUGCUUCCGAAACUGCUGUGCUUGAGUGUGGGAGAGGCGCGUGGAAUUGCAGGUGUAGCGGUGAAAUGCGUAGAUAUCUGCAGGAACACCCGUGGCGAAAGCGGCGCGCUGGACCACUACUGACGCUGAGGAACGAAAGCUAGGGGAGCAAACAGG